rnacentral:rRNA from 1 species
GUCUCCAGCCAUACCAUCCUGAAUGUACCUGACCUCGUCUGAUCUCAGAAGCUAAGUAGGGUUGGGUCUAGUUAGUACUUGGAUGGGAGACUGCCUGGGAGUACCGGGUGCUGUAGGCU